rnacentral:rRNA from 1 species
UACGUAGGGGGCUAGCGUUGUCCGGAAUCAUUGGGCGUAAAGAGCGCGUAGGCGGCCAGAUAAGUCCGGUGUGAAAGUCACAGGCUCAACCUGUGAAUGCCGCUGGAAACUGGCAGGCUAGAGUACGUAAGAGGGUCGCGGAAUUCCCGGUGUAGAGGUGAAAUUCGUAGAUAUCGGGAGGAACACCGGUGGCGAAGGCGGCGACCUGGGACGAUACUGACGCUGAGGUGCGAAAGCGUGGGGAGCAAACAGG